CCUACGGGGGGCAGCAGUGGGGAAUAUUGCACAAUGGGGGAAACCCUGAUGCAGCGACGCCGCGUGAGUGAAGAAGGAAUUCGGUAUGUAAAGCUCUAUCAGCAGGGAAGAAAAUGACGGUACCUGAGUAAGAAGCCCCGGCUAACUACGUGCCAGCAGCCGCGGUAAUACGUAGGGGGCAAGCGUUAUCCGGAUUUACUGGGUGUAAAGGGAGCGUAGACGGCAGUGCAAGUCUGGGGUGAAAGGCGGGGGCUCAACCCCCGGACUGCUCUGGAAACUGUGCGGCUGGAGUGCAGGAGAGGUAAGUGGAAUUCCUAGUGUAGCGGUGAAAUGCGUAGAUAUUAGGAGGAACACCAGUGGCGAAGGCGGCUUACUGGACUGUAACUGACGUUGAGGCUCGAAAGCGUGGGGAGCAAACAGGAUUAGAUACCCCUGUAGUC
rnacentral:rRNA from 1 species